GGCCUCAUAGUUCAGUUGGUAGAGCGUUGCAACCGGUGAAUCGGAAAAGUAAUGGGUGCGAAAUCCCGUUGGUGCCA